ACUAAGCGUACACGGUGGAUGCCCUGGCAGUCAGAGGCGAUGAAGGGCGUGCUAAUCUGCGAUAAGCGCCGGUAAGGUGAUAUGAACCGUUAUAACCGGCGAUACCCGAAUGGGGAAACCCAGUGUGACUCGUCACACUAUCAUUAACUGAAUCCAUAGGUUAAUGAGGCGAACCGGGGGAACUGAAACAUCUAAGUACCCCGAGGAAAAGAAAUCAACCGAGAUUCCCCCAGUAGCGGCGAGCGAACGGGGAGGAGCCCAGAGCCUGAAUCAGCAUGUGUGUUAGUGGAAGCGUCUGGAAAGGCGCGCGAUACAGGGUGACAGCCCCGUACACAAAAGCGCAUGUGCUGUGAGCUCGAUGAGUAGGGCGGGACACGUGGUAUCCUGUCUGAAUAUGGGGGGACCAUCCUCCAAGGCUAAAUACUCCUGACUGACCGAUAGUGAACCAGUACCGUGAGGGAAAGGCGAAAAGAACCCCGGCGAGGGGAGUGAAAAAGAACCUGAAACCGUGUACGUACAAGCAGUGGGAGCACCCUUUGGGUGUGACUGCGUACCUUUUGUAUAAUGGGUCAGCGACUUAUAUUCUGUAGCAAGGUUAACCGA
rnacentral:rRNA from 1 species